rnacentral:rRNA from 1 species
UGGGGAAUAUUGGACAAUGGGCGCAAGCCUGAUCCAGCCAUGCCGCGUGAGUGAAGAAGGCCUUCGGGUUGUAAAGCUCUUUUGUCCGGAAAGAAAUCCUGUCGGCUAAUACCCGGCGGGGAUGACGGUACCGGAAGAAUAAGCACCGGCUAACUUCGUGCCAGCAGCCGCGGUAAUACGAAGGGUGCAAGCGUUACUCGGAAUUACUGGGCGUAAAGCGUGCGUAGGUGGUUCGUUAAGUCUGAUGUGAAAGCCCUGGGCUCAACCUGGGAACUGCAUUGGAUACUGGCGAUCUGGAGUGCGGUAGAGGGUAGCGGAAUUCCCGGUGUAGCAGUGAAAUGCGUAGAUAUCGGGAGGAACAUCCGUGGCGAAGGCGGCUACCUGGACCAGCACUGACACUGAGGCACGAAAGCGUGGGGAGCAAACA